rnacentral:ncRNA from 2 species
AUAUCGUCACAAUUGAAUCGUAAGAGGCAGCGAUAAGGGAAGGCCGUGAAAACCGGCCGCGGUCCCGCCGCUGUGAACCCAAAUGCUCCCGGCAGUAUGCCACUGCAUCGGGGGACUGCAUCGGGGGACACGUACCUUUGAAAGGUACGUGUCCCCCGAUGCAGUGCCCCGAGUGGGAAGGCGCCGUGCGAGUUCGGGUGAGCCAGAAGACCUGCGCUGCCUUAAAGUAACCG